rnacentral:sRNA from 1 species
GGCGAGUGACCGGGAAGAGCUCAAAUUUGAAAUCUGGCGUCCUCAGGGCGUCCGAGUUGUAAUCUAUAGAGGCGUUUUCCGUGCCGGACCGUGUCCAAGUUCCUUGGAACAGGAUAUCAAAGAGGGUGACAAUCCCGUACUUGACACGACGACCGGUGCUCUGUGAUACGUCUUCUACGAGUCGAGUUGUUUGGGAAUGCAGCUCAAAAUGGGUGGUGAGUUCCAUCUAAAGCUAAAUAUUGGCGAGAGACCGAUAGCGAACAAGUACCGUGAGGGAAAGAUGAAAAGCACUUUGGAAAGAGAGUUAAACAGUACGUGAAAUUGUUGAAAGGGAAACGAUUGAAGUCAGUCGUGACCGAGAGGCUCAGCCGGUUCUGCCGGUGUAUUCCCCUCGGUCGGGUCAACAUCAGUUUUGUCCGGUGGAUAAGGGCGGUAGGAAGGUGGCACCCUCGGGUGUGUUAUAGCCUGCCGUCGCAUACAUCGGGUGAGACUGAGGAACGCAGCUCGCCUUUAUGGCCGGGGUUCGCCCACGUCCGAGCUUAGGAUGUUGACAUAAUGGCUUUAAACGACCCGUCUUGA